rnacentral:rRNA from 1 species
UACGAAGGGGGCUAGCGUUGCUCGGAAUCACUGGGCGUAAAGGGUGCGUAGGCGGGUCUUUAAGUCAGGGGUGAAAUCCUGGAGCUCAACUCCAGAACUGCCUUUGAUACUGAAGAUCUUGAGUCCGGGAGAGGUGAGUGGAACUGCGAGUGUAGAGGUGAAAUUCGUAGAUAUUCGCAAGAACACCAGUGGCGAAGGCGGCUCACUGGAUCGGUACUGACGCUGAGGUGCGAAAAGCGUGGGGAGCAAACAGGG